rfam:Danio rerio chromosome 4, GRCz11 reference primary assembly.
GCAUUGGUGGAUCAGUGGUAGAAUUCUCGCCUCCCAAGUGGGAGAGCCGGGUUCGAUUCCUGGCCAAUGCA